AGAAAAUUUUAUUAUAUUUCAUUUCAAGCAUAUUCGAACACGGUACUGUUUAAUUACAAUCUCAAGUCUCUGAGUGCUUCAUCAAACAAUACCUUAUAUCAGCAACAGCAUUCCCUAUUAACUAGUCAUUAUUUAUUUUAAUUAUCAAACAAACACUUCUAAUAAUAAGUGGUAAAGAUACAAAUCCUAAAAGCUCAAGAGAAAAUAGAUAUUGACGCAAAAAGAAAAAACGGAGGAAGACCACAAUUGGAAACGAAACGAAGAAGGGAAACAUGCAUGAUGAUAAUGAUGACGAUGAUGACAAUUUUACAGCUAUGGAAGUAAAAAAAAUAUAUAAAUAAAUGUAGUAGUCGGACCAGGAACUCUUGAUUCCCCUUGCAUGGAUGCCUCCAUGUCAUUAUCCAUGGCUUGUAAGGAGAAGUUGCUUAUAUUUGAAUGGCCACUCAAGGAAGAAAUGAAAUUCCUUCCAUGGUUGGAGCAAUGAAAUGAAGCUGAAAGCUAUUACCAUGGUCAUGGUGAGAGAAGAACUAAAAUCCAAGAAAUUAGUCUAAUUGAGAGAGAAAGAAAGAUGAAAGAGAAGUAUAUAGUAGAAGAGGUAGGGAGAAAAGCUUUUAUCUUGAGAGACCCCAAGCACUCACUGAUCUUAAAUUCCCGCAUGCACGUUUCUCUUUUAAUAUAUACAGUGUCGGCACGUUUCCACAGGGGAAAAAGGAAGGCAAAGAAAGAGACAGACAGUGAAAUGAAGUGUUUCUUUUUUUUCUUUCGUAAGACAAAUUAAAGAGCAUGGUGCCCUAAAGCUAGC
rnacentral:lncRNA from 1 species